AGAUUUGUGUGGCAGCAGCAAAACAGCCCAACAGCACUUUGCCUGCCUCAGUGAGCACCCUGAAAGAGGUGUCCCUCCAGACGGAUGUGGUCCCCGCUGGCAAGCCCCUGGAGGAACACCUGAACAAUGGGCAACAGUCGAAUAACACCCAGGAGGACAUCCUGUUGAGGGUAAAUGAAAACCCGGUCUCCAUCGAGCACUUCCCGAAUGAAGGCCUGAAGAAGUUCAGCGGUGGGGAGGACAUCUCCCGGCCUCAGGGAAAAAGGCAGAAGAAGCAUGGGGGGUGCUUCAGAUGGAUUGGGGAGUGGCUGUCUAAGAGGAAGGGCGAAGAGAUGAGAGACAGAGGGAGGACGGACCAGAAGCCUUGCCCUCUGAUCGUCGUAAAGCCCAGAGACUUCAGCAUCAGGACUGAUGUGGAGGUAGGAGACCUCGGGGACCGUCUGCCUGAGCUGGAAGGACGCAAUCAGGUUUUAGGAAAAUGCCAGAACACACUCAGUCCUGAGAACACCAAAAUGGUCCAGAGCUUUGAUAUCCCCUGCCCAAUGACACCUCCCAGCCACACCCUUGCUUCCUUGGCCACUAUUGAGUACAUCCCUCACCCAAAUAGGGCACGCCUGGCUCCCAUCACUAAUGUGAGUGAAAAGGGCAGGAAGCUUCUUGUGGAACUUGCCAGAGAUUCCCAACGGCCUCAUGAGACAAACCAAACUGUCAAAGACAUCAAGAAGGCUAAAAAACACAGAAAAAGAAAGAAGGGGAAAGCCAUUGAGAGACAGCAGGAGAAGGUUGUGGGGGCCAAGGAGAAAAAGCACAUCAAAAAGGACAAAAUCAGUCUGAGGAAGAGAUUCCUUCAAUGGCUGCUACCUAAGAUGUGCUGUAUGAGGAAGUAAUGGAGAACGGCUAUACACGCACACAUACAUACAAACACACACACACACACACACACACACACACACAUACACACAAAAACAUACACACACAGCAUACUUGCUAUGCAUACAUUACAUUUAUUCUUCCACUUAUAUUUGAUGGUAUAGUACAGGGGAUCCCUAACCUUUUGCUUCAGGCUCCACCUGUGCAUUUGAGUCACAGAUUGCGCCACCCUCCCGAAUCCCAUCAUACAUGCUCUUAUAUCUUGCCCUAACAUAGGCCUUAAUAUCUUGCGCUAACACAUAGGCCUUCAGAAAUUGGUUAGCAUUUUACUACAUACAUUUUAUUUCACAAUUGGUAGGCCAAACCUAAUACAUUUCCAUACUUAGAAUUAAUUAAAUGGAUACGUCUGUCGCUGGGAACAAAGCUUAUGCAUUCUGGGCUAAUACCUGUACACGUGUAAAGUAACAGGCAUUUCACUUCAUACACUUAUUCAACUUUGUAGGCUAAAUGCCAGAACAACUUAAUGUAUAAACAUAUAGUGCUUAUAUCUUUGUGUACUUACUCAAUUAAUGAGUUGGAUGAGCCUGACACUGGGAACAGCCUUUGUAUUCUGGGCUUCAUGCUUGAUAGUGAUGAACAUAGUUCAACUUCUACUACCGUGAGUGGUGACCGUUGUUUGUUUUUAAUGUAUUCCUGGUAUUCGCCAUCAAUUGACAGCCAGAUAAAGGCUGCUGGCAGGUCCCUGUCACUGGAUAGGUCCAGCAGUGAGUCCUGUAGUUCUGAUGACAGGUUGCUGCCAGUGGUAGUGGCGGUGAUAAACCGCUGUCAGAUCCAGUCGUGGUUUUUGUGUUUCUCUUCCUGAAAGUACCUCUUCAAUAGUCCAAUAAGUCAGCGUAAAUGAUUAGUUGUCAUUGCAUUGUCAAACUUGAUCUCUCAUUUCAAAUAGAUGCAGCAGCACAUCAUAGCACCAGCCCCAUCUGCAUAAGAUGCAGCUUGGACUUUGGAAAUUGUUGUAGUCUGUGUGGUCAAUGCUUGCUUUUGCUCUUGCUCUUUACAAUCGAAAAAAUUCAGUUGUUUAUUGAUGUGUGUUGGGCGUUUGGUGUGUAAAUGUCUCUUCAGUUUCACCGGUUUCAAACUGUCAAUUGCUAGUACCUCCGAACACAUUACACAUUGUGGAUGUGCAUCCCCAUCAACCACAAGACACAUAAAUCCAUACAGAAUGUAAUUGUCUUGAUAUCGCCGUAGCUUUGCCUGCUUAUGCUUGCGUUUCCUUCCAAAUUUCACUGGCACUUUAGUUUCACUGGCACUGAUAAUUCAAAGUAAUGGUUCUGAUGUACAACUAAUUUACUGUGUCCAAAUGUAUUUCUCAAUAAAGUAUAAUGAAU
ensembl:lncRNA